UCAAAUCACUAAUUAAAUCUCUCAUAAAUACUGAGUCUAAAUCCGAUGGGCAAUCAGGCAUCAGAAUUCAUCGAUUUGUAAUCCUGAUCGAAAAGUCUCAACCAGUGGGACUCUUGACCCCGGUACCCAUAAUGUGUGAAACUCGUGAUCAGAGAAUCCUGAUUCUUGAUCACUGAGUCUCAAACAUAUAGGAUUCUACAUCAGCCAUC
rnacentral:lncRNA from 1 species